CAGCCGCCGCGGUAAUACGGAGGGUGCAAGCGUUAAUCGGAAUUACUGGGCGUAAAGCGCACGCAGGCGGUCUGACAAGUCAGAUGUGAAAUCCCCAGGCUUAACCUGGGAACUGCAUUUGAAACUGUCAGGCUGGAGUCUUGUAGAGGGGGGUGGAAUUCCAGGUGUAGCGGUGAAAUGCGUAGAGAUCUGGAGGAAUACCGGUGGCGAAGGCGGCCCACUGGACAAAGACUGACGCUGAGGUGCGAAAGCGUGGGGAGCAAACAGGAUUAGAUACCCCAGUAGUCCAUGUCUCUUAUAC
rnacentral:rRNA from 1 species